UACGUAGGGACCAAGCGUUGUUCGGAUUUACUGGGCGUAAAGGGCGCGUAGGCGGCUUGACAAGUCACUUGUGAAAUCUCCGGGCUUAACUCGGAACGGCCAAGUGAAACUGUCAUGCUAGAGUGCAGAAGGGGCAAUCGGAAUUCUUGGUGUAGCGGUGAAAUGCGUAGAUAUCAAGUGGAACACCGGUGGCGAAGGCGAGUCCCUGGACAACACCUGACACUGAGGCACGAAAGCUAGGGGAGCAAACAGG
rnacentral:rRNA from 1 species